AUGCUCUCCUCGUCGCUCGCCUUCUCACCCCACCACCUAGCCCCUUCCCCCUCUGCUGUUCGCCGGAGCACAUCUUCCACCAUCACGAUGCGGGACCGGGGCAAGAACCGGAAGCCGAUGCAGCGGGGGCGCUACCUCAGCACCGAGGCCAUCCAGGCCGUCCAGUCGCUCAAGCGCGCCACCCUCUCUGGAGCACCCGCCGGCGGCGCCGUCGCGACGGACCCCAAGCUGCGGCGGCUGCUGAAGGCCGACAUGGUCGCCGUCUUCCGCGAGCUCGCGGCGCAGGGCGAGGCCCACCUGGCACUCAAGGUCUUUGAGGAGAUUCGAAAGGAGCACUGGUACAAACCUAGGUUGUUCUGGUAUGUUGAUCUUAUUACAGUGCUUGCUAGCAAAGAAUUGAGGUCCGAGGUUGGCAAAGCCUGUUCGUAUCUGAAGAGGGAACAAUUGGAACCCGACACGGAUGGUUUCAAUCUGCUUCUGAAGACACUCUUAGAUGCUGAGUUCACACAAUUAACAAUGGACUGCUUCCGUCUUAUGAAACUAUGGGACAGUGAACCUGAUAGGAUAACAUACAUAAUACUGGUCAAGGGUCUUGAAUCCCUAGGAGAGAUGGAUCUAUCUGCUAAGAUGAGGUUGGAAGCAGAAAGUGACUAUGGAGACCUCUGGGACUUCUUUGACGAAGAGGAGGCGAUUUAG
rnacentral:rRNA from 1 species